AAUUAAUUAGUUAAUUAUUUAAUAUAUGUUUUGAAAACAUAAGAAAGAAAAUAAAAAUUUCUAUUAAUUU
rnacentral:tRNA from 1 species